rnacentral:rRNA from 1 species
UACGAAGGGUGCAAGCGUUACUCGGAAUUACUGGGCGUAAAGCGUGCGUAGGCGGUUUGUUAAGUCCGCUGUGAAAGCCCUGGGCUCAACCUGGGAAUUGCAGUGGAUACUGGCAAGCUAGAGUGCGGUAGAGGAUGGUGGAAUUCCCGGUGUAGCGGUGAAAUGCGUAGAGAUCGGGAGGAACACCAGUGGCGAAGGCGGCUCACUGGACCGGUACUGACGCUGAGGCGCGAAAGCGUGGGGAGCAAACAGG